CGAACCUUUCGGGGUUAGUGGCGGACGGGUGAGUAACACGUGGGAACGUGCCUUUAGGUUCGGAAUAACUCAGGGAAACUUGUGCUAAUACCGAAUGUGCCCUUCGGGGGAAAGAUUUAUCGCCUUUAGAGCGGCCCGCGUCUGAUUAGCUAGUUGGUUGAGGUAAUGGCUCACCAAGGCGACGAUCAGUAGCUGGUCUGAGAGGAUGAUCAGCCACAUUGGGACUGAGACACGGCCCAAACUCCUACGGGAGGCAGCAGUGGGGAAUCUUGCGCAAUGGGCGAAAGCCUGACGCAGCCAUGCCGCGUGAAUGAUGAAGGUCUUAGGAUUGUAAAAUUCUUUCACCGGGGACGAUAAUGACGGUACCCGGAGAAGAAGCCCCGGCUAACUUCGUGCCAGCAGCCGCGGUAAUACGAAGGGGGCUAGCGUUGCUCGGAAUUACUGGGCGUAAAGGGAGCGUAGGCGGACAUUUAAGUCAGGGGUGAAAUCCCGGGGCUCAACCUCGGAAUUGCCUUUGAUACUGGGUGUCUUGAGUAUGAGAGAGGUGUGUGGAACUCCGAGUGUAGAGGUGAAAUUCGUAGAUAUUCGGAAGAACACCAGUGGCGAAGGCGACACACUGGCUCAUUACUGACGCUGAGGCUCGAAAGCGUGGGGAGCAAACAGGAUUAGAUACCCUGGUAGUCCACGCCGUAAACGAUGAUUGCUAGUUGUCGGGAUGCAUGCAUUUCGGUGACGCAGCUAACGCAUUAAGCAAUCCGCCUGGGGAGUACGGUCGCAAG
rnacentral:rRNA from 1 species